UUUCCGUUGGUGAACCAGCGGAGGGAUCAUUACCGAGUUUACAACUCCCAAACCCCUGUGAACAUACCUAUCGUUGCCUCGGCGGUGCCCGCUCCGGCGGCCCGCCAGAGGACCCCAAACUCUUGUUUUAUACAGUAUCUUCUGAGUAACACGAUUAAAUAAAUCAAAACUUUCAACAACGGAUCUCUUGGUUCUG
rnacentral:misc_RNA from 1 species